GCUGGUGGAAGGUGUCCCUGCCCAUGGCAGGGAGUGGGGCUGGAUGGGCUUUAAGGCCCCUUCCAACCCAAACCAUUCUGGGAUUCCAUGAUUCUGUAUUUUUUUAGGAAUAUGACAUUUCCCUGGCACCUUUGGUGCCUUACUGAAUCUUUCCACUCAUGAUUUGCUUUCAUUUGAGUUUGGGGGUGGCACGGGUGAAGCUGCAGCACCACCAGGCAGGGUUGUUCUGUUUGGGCCAGCCCGUGAGGAUUUCUGCACUAACUAAAAGGGGCUUUCAAAAGCCUGGGAUAGAAAAUGCUCCCAAAGUAAGCUUAUCCAUGGCUUGCUUGUGCCUUUCCUGUGGCAUUCCAGCUGGGAGCCUGGCUUGGUGCUCAGUCCAGGACCUUGGGUCAGUGCUCUGCCGUGCUCGGUGUUGCUCCACAUCAGGCUCAGGUGGAUUCUUGCAUCAGCAGGAAGGGGAGUGUUGGGAAUGCCCCAGGUGUGUCCUGUGUGUGCUGUACCUGCACCAGGGCCAUUCCUCAUUCCCAAACAGCUCACAGGGGACUUCCCCCAGCCUGGCUGUGGCUGGACUGUGCUGCUGUGCAGUCACUCCCGAGCUUCUUCCCGACACUCCUGACUCCCUGGCAGCUCAGCUUCCUCUCCUCAACGCUCUCCCAGUUGCUUCAUUACUCCCCAAGCCUGCUAGCAGGGCUGUUACCGAUACCUCUUCCCACCUCUCCGGGGUUUUCCCCUCCAGGAGUCAUGUCUGGUGAGUAAUGCCCAUCCUCUCUUUCCCCAGGAGCUCCAUUUCCACACCACACGUGGGUUCUGCAGCUCCAUGACUCAUCUUUUUCCAGAUCCUCUGCAUCCAAGCAGCAGCAUGCUGGGGGUGAUAGUAAAUCUCGGAGUGAAAGCAGGAUUUUAUGGAUGUGCUGAUUCAUCUUUCCUCAGAGCACAGCUCUGUUAUGUAAAUGCCAGCAGCAGCUGGUGGCAGGAGGAGGGAGAACAGACUAAUGAGCCACGGAAGGAUUCGGGAGCAGAGAUGCUUUAAGGAAGAAGCUGGAUUGUAGCUGUUUCUUUCCAUACUGCUCUUUAAAGAAAAAAAAAAAAAAGAAAAUUUUUGAGGGAUUUUAGGAGUAGGAACUGAUGACAUUCAAAUACCCAUCACUUCUCCCAUUUGGUGUUGUAGGGAGUUUUACUCUCAGUUGUAGUUAAAAGUAAAACUCAACCCCCUGUUUAAUUUGAAUACAAAAUUAAAUGAACUUUCCCAUAAUUGGCUUGUAAAACCAGGUAAAGGUGUGUCUCUCAUAUUUUAUUUAUGAUUAUUCUGCCCUCAUGAGUCAAAUCCUGCUUUAGCCGUGUGUGAAAACAGAAUUGUGGUUUAGCAUAACCAGAAAUGUACAGUUAAAAUCAAGAAAAAGCAAGUUUAGAGUGGAAUUGUGCAGGUGUGGUGGGUUUACCUGCAUUGUGCCUUUCCAGUAAAUGUAGAUGGGGAUGCACAUGCCUGAAUCCAGCUGGAUUUAAACACUGGAACAAAUUAAGCAUUUUCAGCUUUAAAAAAAAAGUUUUCUGUGUACAUUUCAUAAAAUACCCCCGAGUUGGAAGCAACCCACAAGGAUUUCUGUGAACAUUCUGCUAAUCUUGGGUCUUUCAUAUGGAGCUAAAGGACAAACCAGGAUGGUAGUUAAAUUAAAUCCAAGUUUUUGUUUAGUUGAUUCAAAAAUAAGAGUUGUUCAGAAGGAAUUCAGGAGUUGGUGCCUUGUGCUACACAGUUGUGAGUAAAGGAAUAUUAAAAAGUCCAAGCUUAUUUUAAGAUCUUUACAUAUAACCUAAAAUUUUGAUAUCAUAGUUUAUUUUUAAAAAGAAAUGAGAUGCAAAAUAAUUAGCACUAAUUACAGUUGCUGGAGUGCAGGGCUUGUGUGUGCAAACGAACAUCCUGUUUUUGCAGGACAAAUCUCCAAGUUCCCACUCCUUCCUGUGGUACUCUUCCUCGGCAAGAGCUGUUAAAUAAUAUCUAAAUAGCUGUUAGAUAUUACACAAGAUCUGCUCUAGGAUUUUUGCUAUUUAUAAUAAUUUAUUAUUUAAUUUCUCAGCUGCAUCAUUCCGGUUAUUCCUCUAGAUGGUGCCAGACAUCCAAGAGUUGGGUGCGACAUUAUCCCGAGGAAGGCGAUGGAGGCACAGCCAGGACGCCGCUCGCCUUUGUUUCUAAAUUCUAUCUUGCAGCAGUUCAUCUUGAAAAAUUACUUGUUCUGCUGAUGUAAAUACGGUGGUUUUUUUCCUUUUGAGAAUCCUAAAAUCCACUCAGCCCAAAUUCCACCUGCCUGGAGCAGGAAUCCCUUGCUCCGUGGGCUGAUCCAUAUCUCGUAUUCCUUAUGGCAGCCAUUAGCUGCUGUGAGCUGGGAUCGGUGUGUGCAGCCCUGCUGCGACUGGGGGAACUUCACCUGCCUGGUUUGCAGAGCAGUGACAUUUCUGGCUGUUAUCUAAACAUUUCUCCUUAUCUGUAUUUCACACAGAAAUGCCAAAUCCAGCUGUGGAUGGAGCACAGGAAAAGGGGUGGCUCUGUGUCCCUCCCUGCCAGCAGAAGGACCGGGGGAGUGAUGUCAGUGUCAGGUCCAUCCUCAGCAUCUCUGAAUUCCAACUUUGUACCCCAAAGUGCCUGGAACCCCGUUUUUACAGCAGCAAAAUUACUGCUGGGUGUAAGUGAGCAGGAAACCAGAAAAAGUGGAUUAAAAGGAAUGAGGUUAUCUAGCAUGAAAGAAUACUCCAAAACAACUGUGGAGGAGGGAAGAGGAGUUUCUGCUCCGACCCUGGCACAGCAUCCAGACGCUGCCUCUCUCCUCGCCGUCGGUGUUUCCUUGCAAUGCCCCGUUCUCUGCAGCCCCGGUCUUUGGGAGAGUCGGGAAUUGCUGCUGCGGCUCGCUGGCAGCGCGGGAGGGAUGAGCCGGGACCGGAAUCCUUUCCUGCCGUGGAUGUCAGGGCGACUCCGACAGCGGCUCCAUCCACAUCUCUGCAAGGAAAAGUGAUCACUUGUCUUACCUCCGGGUUUAAUUAGCCCCCCUGCUCGGGGGCUAAUUAGGAGCGCGGUCCGCGCGGAGGUCGGGGCCGGAGCCCUCCCUCCCUCUCCCGCUCCAUUCCCGCUCCGUUCCCGCUCCAUUCCCGCUCCAUUCCCGCUCCAUUCCCGCUCCAUUCCCGCUCUGUGCCAUCUGCCAUUGCCAUGACACUGCCUUUGCUUUUCACGGCUGGCUGGGCGCGCUGGAUGCGCGGGGUAAUGGGGCUAUUUUUCCCCCUCUUGGUCAUUGGAAAGGAAAUAAUAAUAAUAAUAAUAAACCCAGGAAUGACUGGAACUGCUGCACACUGCCCUUUUCCUUCCCACUUUUGAAGCUUUUUAGCAUUCAGUUUUCCAGCAGUUGGGAGGAAAAUUGCCCUGAAAGAAAGAAAGAAACAAAAAUCUGUGUUAUUUUUUUAAACACCCCCCUCCACACGCCCCCCCACCCCGCGCCACACAGGCAGCUGCAGAGAAUUUCUCUUCCAAAGGGAUGAUGUAAUGGGCUUUGUCAGCCAAUGCUGGAAUGAAUAAAACCCGAGACCCGAAAUCCAUCCAGGCUUUUGAUGAAACUCCUCAGGUUCCUGAAGCAAGUGGUCGCCAAAAUAGGCUGGAACUGCUGGUUUUGUCAUGCUGCUCUUGAGAGAAGUGAGAUGGAGAGUCAAGGGCUCCAAUCAGGGGAUAACCAAAAAAAUCCACAAGGUUUUGUCCCUGCUGAGGGAAAGGAGACAUUGUGGGGCAUCUGGGGACAAACAGUGAAGGGGUGCACAGCCCUUGGUUCCAGGACAUCAACUCAAGCUUCAACACAGAGUCACUCCUGAUCUGAACAUGACACCUACAACCCUAUUUUAUUGAGAGAUAUAUGUGUAUAUUUAAUAUUAUGUAUAUAAUAUAUAAUUUGAUAUUAUUGCCCAGAGAAGCUGUAACUGUCCCAUCCCUGGGAGUGUCCAAGGCCAGGUUGGACAAGGCUUGGAGUAACCUUGGGGCUAGUGGAAGGUGUCCCUGCCUAUGGCAGGGGGUGGAACUGGAUGGGUUUAUGGUCCCUUCCUACCCAAACCCAUCAGGAAUUCUGUGAUAUAUAUAAAACAUGAAUAUAUGAACUAUACACAAGUAGCAGCAAUUCCUGCUGCAGCAGUGGGCACAUUGUUGCUCUCCCAGGGAUGUCAUGGGCUGCUGUGGCCAGGAGAUCUUUCCUCUCACUCUAUGACUGAUUCCAAGUCUCUGUCUAUCUUUCUUUGUGGCCCCUUUAGGCACUGGAAGAGGCUCUGAGGUCUCCCAGAGCUUUCUCCGUAACACCCCCAGCUCUCCCAGCCCGUCCUCAUAGGACACACUGCACUGUUCUGUCACCCCAAAUUUUGUCAGCAAAGAGGCUGCAGGGCAGGCAGAGAGAGCUGCCAGCAUUCCAGAAGGAUCCAGUUCUUGCAGGGACAUCACACUUCCAGGUGAUGGAAGAGAAUCAUGGAUGCAUUUUGCCUUGUCUGCUCUCUGGUCCCUGCUUGUGCAUCCUUGCUGGGCAUCCCUGCAGCAGGAGCUGGGACAGAGCUGCUGCCACCAUCCCCCAGCCCUGUGGAGCCACCAGCACAGUGCCACAUCCUCUGACACCCUGAGAGCUGUGGUGCCUGCUCCUGGUCCCCGUGCCAUCCCCCCAGCAGCUGGAUAACCCCAAAUUCCCAGGGAUGGCCUUGCUGUGUGUGCAGAGCAGCCGUGCAGGAACCCCCAGCCAGGACCACCACCUGGAGACUGCAGCACCAAGUGAAGCCAAGAUUUAUAGCCAAGGUGGGCCACAAAGGGGGUUGGAGAUAACUUCCAAGCCCAAAUGGAGCAGCACUGGGAGCUGGGAAUCUGGACCCCUUCUCCAGCCCAGUGGUGGCCAUCACCUCACCUUCAGCACCCAGCAAACCUGGACCUUAGGGUGGCAUUUGGGGAGGGGGUUUGCCAAGAACAGGAGGAUGUGGUGCCCUUUUCCUCCUGGGGAAAAUUCAGCUCCAAUGGAGAAUAUUUCCAGGAGCACACCUGCACAGGGGGAUGUGCACAGCCCAGGUCAGUGGCACAGGGCUUGGCAGGGACACAGGUGGUACCUUGGGUACAUCCACGCCGUGUCUGUCCCCAACAGCCACACACAGUGAACAGCCGGGAAGUUUUCCUCCUCUCAAAGUGCCCGGAAUGGCCGGAGGAGCUCAAACCAAAGGGGAAGUACAAACCUGUGUCCCCUCACCCCUCAGCUCCUCCAGAGGUCCAGGGCCAGGGACAACUCCAGGUCCUCUCCCACCACCACACAUUGCUGCUCCUGCACUGGUGACGUGUCUGUGUCCCACAGCCCCCCUGGAUCAUCUUCCAAGAGUUUGUGUAAUCACUUCCUAAGCCAUUAUGAUUCCUGGGCUCCAUUUGGGCAAUGAGUUACAUGGUUUAAUUACUCAUUGUGUGAAAUAUGCUCGUUUUGCAUCUGCCACUCUGUAAUUUCAUUUGGGGCCUCUUUGUUUGCUUUGUGUCCCCACACAAGAGCCACCGACCCCUAUUCACUGUCCCUGUGCCGCUGCACCAGGGAAUACAAAUCCCGCAUCCUUUUCCCCCCUGUCUGUCAAUUCUUUGCAAGACAAAAAGGGUAAUUUAUUUAAUUGUUGCUGGUAUAAUGUCCUAAAAGUCUCCUUUCCCCUCCAACAGUUAAUUACACUUGUUAAUUAUUUUAAUUA